rnacentral:rRNA from 1 species
AGAGUUUGAUCCUGGCUCAGAGCGAACGCUGGCGGCAUGCUUAACACAUGCAAGUCGCACGGUCAGCAAUGGCAGUGGCGGACGGGUGAGUAAUACGUAGGAAUCUAUCCUUGAAUGGGGGACAACCGUGGGAAACUACGGCUAAUACCGCAUGAAGCCUGAGGGCCAAAGACGCGAGUCGUUUGAGGAGGAGCCUACGC